rnacentral:lncRNA from 1 species
AGACUGAUUUCCUAGAGACGCACAUUUAAGGCAGCAUAGCCAAAGCAAUGGGUCAGCCUUUAAGAAGUAAUCUCCUUUUGGAGUCAAAAGUCUGAACAACUAAUACACCUGACUUAGGUGCCUCUGAAGACAUAGGCCAAGUUGGCACCGCAAAACAAAAAAGGCUGGGAAGUUGAAGAUUGGACAGCCACAUCUG